AGUGAACGCUGGCGGUAGGCCUAACACAUGCAAGUCGAACGGCAGCACAGUAAGAGCUUGCUCUUACGGGUGGCGAGUGGCGGACGGGUGAGGAAUACAUCGGAAUCUACUUUUUCGUGGGGGAUAACGUAGGGAAACUUACGCUAAUACCGCAUACGACCUACGGGUGAAAUCAGGGGAUCUUCCGACCUUGCGCGAUUGUAUGAGCCGAUGUCGGAUUAGCUAGUUGGCGGGGUAAAGGCCCACCAAGGCGACGAUCCGUAGCUGGUCUGAGAGGAUGAUCAGCCACACUGGAACUGAGACACGGUCCAGACUCCUACGGGAGGCAGCAGUGGGGAAUAUUGGACAAUGGGCGCAAGCCUGAUCCAGCCAUACCGCGUGGGUGAAGAAGGCCUUCGGGUUGUAAAGCCCUUUUGUUGGGAAAGAAAAGCAGCAGGUUAAUACCCCGCUGUUCUGACGGUACCCAAAGAAUAAGCACCGGCUAACUUCGUG
rnacentral:rRNA from 1 species